GGGGUUGUGGCUCAAUGGUAGAGUGCUUGCUCAACAAGUGUGAGGCCCUGGGUUCAAUUCCCAGCACCA
rnacentral:tRNA from 1 species